rnacentral:lncRNA from 1 species
GGAAAAACAUGCUUUGGGAAUAGCAAAAUUAACAAUAUCCUCAAGAACUGAUAAUGGAAUCAACAAUUAAGAUACUAACACGAAUAAGAAUAGAUAAAAACCACUUUCACUUUCAAUACUCAUCAUGUUGCAGGUAUGAAAUCCGGUCUCAUUUCUUAAUGUUUUCCGUGAUAGGCGUACCACCCACUCCCAUUUUAAUCA